AACGAACGCUGGCGGCGUGGAUUAGGCAUGCAAGUCGAACGAGAUCCGGAGCGUAGCAAUAUGUUCCGGUGAGAGUGGCGGAAGGGUGAGUAACACAUGGGCAACCUGCCCUGAAGUUGGGGAUAACCUGUCGAAAGAUGGGCUAAUACCGAAUGUGGUCGCGCCGUGCAUGCGGCACUAUCCAAAGCUGGGGACCGAGAGGCCUGGCGCUUCAGGAUGGGCCCGUGUCCUAUCAGCUUGUUGGUGAGGUAACGGCUCACCAAGGCGACGACGGGUAGCUGGUCUGAGAGGAUGGUCAGCCACACUGGGACUGAGACACUGCCCAGACUCCUACGGGAGGCUGCAGUCGAGGAUCAUUCGCAAUGGGCGAAAGCCUGACGAUGCGACGCCGCGUGCAGGAUGAAGGUCUUCGGAUUGUAAACUGCUGUCAUGAGGGACAAUGGCCGGGCGUGAACAGCG
rnacentral:rRNA from 1 species